CGGAUUUAUUGGGCGUAAAGAGCUCGUAGGUGGGUCGGUAAGUCGGGUGUGAAACCUCCAGGCUCAACCUGGAGACACCACCCGAUACUGCUGUGACUAGAGUCCAGUAGGGGAGCGUGGAAUUCCUGGUGUAGCGGUGAAAUGCGCAGAUAUCAGGAGGAACACCAGUGGCGAAGGCGGCGCUCUGGGCUGGAACUGACACUGAGGAGCGAAAGCGUGGGGAGCGAACAGG
rnacentral:rRNA from 1 species